UACGAAGGGGGCUAGCGUUGUUCGGAAUCAUUGGGCGUAAAGCGCACGUAGGCGGUUCGUUAUGUCGGAUGUGAAAGCCCUUGGCUUAACCGAGGAAGUGCAUCCGAAACUGGCGAGCUAGAGUACGAAAGAGGAUCGCGGAAUUCCCGGUGUAGAGGUGAAAUUCGUAGAUAUCGGGAGGAACACCGGUGGCGAAGGCGGCGAUCUGGGUCGAUACUGACGCUGAGGUGCGAAAGCGUGGGGAGCAAACAGGG
rnacentral:rRNA from 1 species